AGCCUUCUGUAUCCGUGCCGUGAUUUCCUCAGACACCAGACUACAAGGGCUGA
rnacentral:pre_miRNA from 1 species